UACGGAGGGUGCAAGCGUUAAUCGGAAUUACUGGGCGUAAAGCGCACGCAGGCGGUCUGUUAAGUCAGAUGUGAAAUCCCCGGGCUCAACCCGGGAACUGCAUCUGAUACUGGCAGGCUUGAGUUUCGUAGAGGGGGGUAGAAUUCCAGGUGUAGCGGUGAAAUGCGUAGAGAUCUGGAGGAAUACCGGUGGCGAAGGCGGCCCCCUGGACGAAGACUGACGCUCAGGUGCGAAAGCGUAGGGAGCAACAGG
rnacentral:rRNA from 1 species